GCACGAGACCGAUAGUCAACAAGUA
rnacentral:piRNA from 4 species